GAUGAACGCUGGCGGCGUGCUUAACACAUGCAAGUCGAACGAAGCACUUUGGACAGAUUCUUCGGAUGAAGUCCUUAGUGACUGAGUGGCGAACGGGUGAGUAACGCGUGAGGAACCUGCCUUUCAGAGGGGGACAACAGUUGGAAACGACUGCUAAUACCGCAUGACACACGGAUACCGCAUGGUAACCGUGUCAAAGAUUUAUCGCUGAAAGAUGGCCUCGCGUCUGAUUAGCUGGUUGGUGAGGUAACGGCCCACCAAGGCGACGAUCAGUAGCCGGCCUGAGAGGAUGAACGGCCACAUUGGGACUGAGAUACGGCCCAGACUCCUACGGGAGGCAGCAGUGGGGAAUAUUGGGCAAAUGGGGAAAACCCUGACCCAGCAACGCCGCGUGAAGGAAGAAGGCUUUCGGGUUGUAAACUUCUUUUACCUAGGGACG
rnacentral:rRNA from 1 species